AUUGAACGCUGGCGGCAGGCUUAACACAUGCAAGUCGAGCGGAGUGAUGGUGCUUGCACUAUCACUUAGCGGCGGACGGGUGAGUAAUGCUUAGGAAUCUGCCUAUUAGUGGGGGACAACAUCUCGAAAGGGAUGCUAAUACCGCAUACGUCCUACGGGAGAAAGCAGGGGAUCACUUGUGACCUUGCGCUAAUAGAUGAGCCUAAGUCGGAUUAGCUAGUUGGUGGGGUAAAGGCCUACCAAGGCGACGAUCUGUAGCGGGUCUGAGAGGAGGAUCAGACACACUGGGACUGAGACACGGCCCAGAAUCCUACGGGAGGCAGCAGUGGGGAAUAUUGGACAAGGGGGGGAACCCUGAUCCAGCCAUGCCGCGUGUGUGAAGAAGGCCUUAUGGUUGUAAAGCACUUUAAGCGAGGAGGAGGCUCUUUUGGUUAAUACCCAAGAUGAGUGGACGUUACUCGCAGAAUAAGCACCGGCUAACUCUGUGCCAGCAGCCGCAGUAACAC
rnacentral:rRNA from 1 species